AAAUCUUGACCUCAAAGUCAAGUCAAGAAUACCCCGUUGAACUUUAAGCCUU
rnacentral:rRNA from 1 species